rnacentral:rRNA from 1 species
UCGAGAAUCUUCGGCAAUGGGCGCAAGCCUGACCGAGCGACGCCGCGUGCGGGAUGAAGGUCUUCGGAUUGUAAACCGCUGUCGGAGGGGAUGAAGUGUAUGGGAGCAAUCUCCUGUAUUUGACAGAGCCUCGGAGGAAGCACGGGCUAAGUUCGUGCCAGCAGCCGCGGUAAUACGAACUGUGCAAACGUUAUUCGGAAUCACUGGGCUUAAAGGGUGCGUAGGCGGUCGCACAAGUCAGGUGUGAAAUCCCCCGGCUCAACCGGGGAAUUGCGCUUGAAACUAGGUGACUUGAGUGAGGUAAGGGUACGCGGAACUUCUGGUGGAGCGGUGAAAUGUGUAGAUAUCAGAAGGAACGCCGGUGGCGAAAGCGGCGUACUGGGCCUUGUCUGACGCUGAGGCACGAAAGCUAGGGAAGUGAACG